rnacentral:sRNA from 1 species
UACGGACAAGGGGAAUCCGAC